rnacentral:lncRNA from 1 species
GACUACCCUGGUCAAGAUUUUGCUAAAUUGAAACACGACUGUACACAGCUCCUAAACUGAAGUGGUCAAUCCCAUCUUGACACACGCACCGACAAGUCAAGUACUUGACUAUACCCAGCAACCUUCCGUCACUGAAUUAGAAAUUCAGGUAGUCCAGUGCCUAAGUGCAGUGAGUUGCUUGCAAGUCACCAUGACGGUCUCA